CAUGAAUAGUGAAUAUUAGAGUAAUCGUUCUGAAAUCUUCUUAUUUUUGACAAACUUUUUUUACUUUUAUGUGUCUUCGCUUGAAACGAUAAAAAAAUAUUUUAGAAAGAUACCAGUGAUAAUUCUUGAAAUAAAACUCAGGAUGCACCUGAGUGUGUUAUGUGUCUUCACUGUCAACAAAGCAAACGAGAAAGAACACAAACAAAAAGAAUUUAAAGUGUGCGGAAAUUCCCGUUUAUUAAAAUAAAUAUCAAAUAAAACGUGCACCGCAAGCUAGCGAAACGACGGGAAAUUCAGUAAUCGUCAUUUGUUUGAUUUGUUUAGUUCGCUUCUGCAAGAUCUACCGGAAGUGAAAUUAGGGCUAUUUCUCCCCAGGGCCAGGGAAGGGUGCAGGGUAGUACGUUCAACAUUAUGCUGACCAAAGCUCCAACAGCCGAAGCUGAGGCGGAAACAGGAAGUUUGAGGUUAUGAAGCUAAUUUUGCUCCGCUCCGGAACCCAACAAGAAAACAGCAUUUGAGAAACAAUAUCAAAAAACCCGAUGCUCGGUGCGCCUGUCAACGGCGCCGGAACCCGUAAGAGAAAAUUUGACAACUGAAAGCUGCUUCUAGUUCGUUACUUCCGCAACACGAUCAAGGUUGCCGAAAAAAAAUUCGGAGUUUUCGUCAAAAAAAAUCUCCAAUUCUGUGUUUUGAACCUAAAAUUCUGUGACGGUUUCUGUGACGCAUUUUUCAUGAAGUUCAUAGGAAAAUCAUGUCAAAUAUCAACAAAUUUGAAAUUUCUUACAAUUUUAAUCGAAAAAAAAUCAAUUUACAUUACCUUGUUUUCAAAUUUUGUGACGGAAUUUUGCUAAAAAUUCUGUGAUAAUAUAGAUUUUUCUGUGAUUUCGGCAACCUUGAACAUGAUCAGCAUGCCACUCGUCGUCACCAAAGACAAGCGAAAACACUGGAAUGAAAUUACUGAAACACGCUACUACCAAAUGAGUCUUCAGCCAUGGUGGCUUUCGAGACGAUGUAAAUAGCCACCGCAAUGUUUUGUUUCCCGAAGGCAGGACGACUACGUGGAAAACUACUCCACGGUUUUCUGGGACAGUUAACGGCGCUUCCACCAACGAUGUACAAGCCGCCUCUAAUUAAACAUCGAAGCCCGAAAUUGUCAGGAACCUGAUUAAGGUGUAUGUAUCUGGGCAUUUUAUUCAUGACAAGAAAAUCAUUCGAGAGGAUCGGUGUCAUUAUAGAGGAAUUGACAGAAUGACUGUUCUCAUGCUUUAGCUGAGCGCAUGAGAGGUGGUGAAGGAUCACCCGUUUCUUUUAACACCCUCUCAGUGGCCGGAUACCAUCACACCACGCUUACCAAUCACCAGAUCUCCAAAUUGAGUCGUACCAUCCGAUCAAGAAUAAUUCUGUCACGAAUUAAAGAAUCUUCCUUCAAUCUGCAGGAGAGAAAAAUAGAUUUGGCAAUUGGCGAAAAAUAAGCUUCAAAUCGAUAUGUAGAAUCCAACCUGGCAGAUCAAUAACAUUCGCGUGACGAAGCACCACAGUUCACCUCUUCAGUAAUUUGGUGCUUAAACUGGUGUUUUGAACAUAUCCCAAGAAUUUUACAACGCAACACAAUUAAGCAGUCACGAAUCUUCUUGAUCCGGAACGAGCCGAGAAUUGUUUGCUACUACGGAAUUAGAUUUAUCGAAGCCAAUAUCUAACUGAUUUCGAUCGAUAUUUCGAGACACAGAAAGAUCCCUAAAACAUUAUUUUGGACGAUUUGAACUUCAAACGGAACACACGGAAGAAAAUGACUUCGAGUUCAUUCGUUCACCAGUCUUGGAUCAGGAUUCCCGAAUAUGAUCAGCUAGCAGAGAGAAGGACUCGCGUUUAGGCUGAUUAUAGAUUCUUUAUGCCGAAUCAGAUCAGCCUCCACUAUGAAACAUGGCAAGCGUCAUUGAUAAGCGCAGAUAUCAUUCGUCAGGUGCUGAAAACAAGUGGACAAGAUCUGGAACUACACCGACCAUAAUUACGGAUGACCUCCUGCGCCCCAAUUAAAUUGCUUACGUUAGGUUUUGAUUGAUUGGAUUCUAGGUAGGUAAAUUGAGAUUUGUUUAAAAAUAAAUAUCAAUAAA